UGUACAUCGUGCUGCCAAGCCAUUUGUGCGAUUCGCAAUAUCGUGUUUGCAACGUGUCCUUCCGUCUAUAUCUGUUGUCUUAUUAAAGUAGCUGUCGGUAAAAUCGCCAUGAUUAUGAAAACAUUUCAAGUUCAUCUAUUCUACAAGAAUUCCGGAAAUGCCUACCUCGCCCGCUUGAUUAUAUAAUGAGCGAUAAUUGAUUCCUAGAAAUACAGAAGAAGAGCUCGACGACCUAUCUUUUCACCCUUUCGCAAACGCAACGUAAUGAUUCGAGCGAUUCAAUAAAGAAUCGAUUAAACGAUAAAAAGCGCCGGAACGUUUUCUUCGACAGAUGCAAUCGAGGCAAAUGCACAGCCGAUUACACCCGAUUGCAGUUGCUAGGUCUACGAUCGCACACGGACCUGCUUUCAUGCAAAUCUCGUAACAGGCAAGGUUAACAACAUUCGCGCUGUGGACUCUUUCUGGACAACGUGCUAUUUUCAAUUUUAGUGAAAAAGGCCGAAAAAAAGAUGUUUGAAAAAAAUCACAUCAUUAUACUUUAGAUCUAGAUAGGGAUAGAUUAAUUCUUUAUUACUGAGAACGAGAUAUAUACGUUUCUAAAAUAUUAAGAAAACGAAUAUCUCUUUCUAGCUUUUUUACAUAAUUCAAAAUUAAUACAGGCAUAUAUGUAUAAUGAUUUAUUUAAUUUUAUUUCGAAAAUAUUUUGCAAUGUCAUAUUAUCGUGAAAUUUAUGUAUGAUUCCACAUUUGUUACAACAGUUUUUUGUAAAGUUUCGCCGGAUUAUAUUAAUCUUGAAAUUAUGCUGCUAUUAUAAUCUCUGUUUUACGUGAACAAAAAGAAUGUGACACGUAAUACUUUCACUAGAAUUUAUUUCCGGCCCAACAAUCAAAAAUACAUUAUAUAAGAGUCUUUAUAAAAAUUCACACAUCAUGAAAAUUUA